rnacentral:rRNA from 1 species
UACAGAGGUCUCAAGCGUUGUUCGGAUUCAUUGGGCGUAAAGGGUGCGUAGGUGGCGCGUUAAGUCAGGUGUGAAAUUUCGGAGCUUAACUCCGAAACUGCAUUUGAUACUGGCGUGCUCGAGGACUGGAGAGGAGACUGGAAUUCAUGGUGUAGCAGUGAAAUGCGUAGAGAUCAUGAGGAAGACCAGUGGCGAAGGCGGGUCUCUGGACAGUUCCUGACACUGAGGCACGAAGGCCAGGGGAGCAAACGGG